rnacentral:lncRNA from 1 species
AUUGGUAAGCUACACUGUUCUUUAGUCUUUGUGGGCGACAUUGAUAUUCUGUUUGUUAUUGAUACUAACUUUAUUAGUUUUUGUCUUGUAACGAGAUGCAUAUGGUACUUUUACGGCAAAGUCGACGGAACUGGGUAAGCUGCACUGUUCUUUAGUCUUUUGGUUUUGGAAUGGAGUUCUACAGUUUGUCAGCUCAACAUUGAUAUUGUGUUUUUUUUUCUAUGACGAGAUGCAUCCAACUUGUUCCUAUAAAACUGGUAAGCUGCACUAUUCUUUAGGCUUUUGUUUUGGAAUGGAGUUUGCCUCAGCUGUAUUGAGGAUUCUUCUGUAAUUCGCUGAUGUGAUUGUGAAUUUCUUAUUGGGAUUUUUUCAGACUUCCAAGGGAGGCUUUCUGAGUUGGAAUUUCAGGUAUGCCAUUGUUCUGUAAUGAAGCUAUGGACAUGGUUUGCAGCAGAUGUGUCCAGUUUGUGGUCUGAAUGAAGCUAUGGACAUGGUUGACCAUAUAACAUCACAGCACGGAGGCAUGUUUUAAGAUAUCCUUGGCAGUCGGCACCAUUCUGUAUUCUAUUAUGUUGGCCCUGAUGUGUACUUGUAUGGAUGAUGAUAUUGCUCAAGGAGCGGAGGAUUGAGUUUAGUUUGUACUUUGUACAGAUGGAGUUUUGAUGUUCAGCAAUGACUCGUGAGCUCUCAUUCUGGAGAAUAACGGAUGAAGAAUUUGCAGCUUCUAGUUCAACAAAUGAAAA